rnacentral:rRNA from 1 species
AACGAACGCUGGCGGCAGGCUUAACACAUGCAAGUCGAACGCCCCGCAAGGGGAGUGGCAGACGGGUGAGUAACGCGUGGGAACGUACCUUUCGCUUCGGAAUAUUCCCGGGAAACUGGGAGCAAUGCCGAAUACGCCGUAUUGGGAAAGAUUUAUCGGCGAAAGGACGGCCCGCGUUAGAUUAGGUAGUUGGCGGUGUAAUGGACCACCAAGCCUACGAUCUAUAGCUGGUCUGAGAGGAUGAUCAGCCACACUGGGACUGAGACACGGCCCAGACUCCUACGGGAGGCAGCAGUGGGGAAUCUUGGACAAUGGGCGCAAGCCUGAUCCAGCCAUGCCGCGUGAGUGAAGAAGGCCUAGGGUUGUAAAACUCUUUCGCCGGUGAAGAUAAUGACGGUAACCGGAGAAGAAGCCCCGGCUAACUUCGUGCCAGCAGCCGCCGUAA